rnacentral:rRNA from 1 species
CUUAACACAUGCAAGUCGAGGGGCAUCAGGAAGAAAGCUUGCUUUCUUUGCUGGCGACCGGCGCACGGGUGAGUAACACGUAUCCAACCUGCCCUUUACUCGGGGAUAGCCUUUCGAAAGAAAGAUUAAUACCCGAUGGCAUAAUGAUUCCGCAUGGUUUCAUUAUUAAAGGAUUCCGGUAAGGGAUGGGGAUGCGUUCCAUUAGGUUGUUGGUGAGGUAGCGGCUCACCAAGCCUUCGAUGGAUAGGGGUUCUGAGAGGAAGGUCCCCCACAUUGGAACUGAGACACGGUCCAAACUCCUACGGGAGGCAGCAGUGAGGAAUAUUGGUCAAUGGGCGCUAGCCUGAACCAGCCAAGUAGCGUGAAGGAUGAAGGCUCUAUGGGUCGUAAACUUCUUUUAUAUAAGAAUAAAGUGCAGUAUGUAUACUGUUUUGUAUGUAUUAUAUGAAUAAGGAUCGGCUAACUCCGUGCCAGCAGCCGCGGUAAUACGGAGGAUCCGAGCGUUAUCCGGAUUUAUUGGGUUUAAAGGGAGCGUAGGUGGACUGGUAAGUCAGUUGUGAAAGUUUGCGGCUCAACCGUAAAAUUGCAGUUGAUACUGUCAGUCUUGAGUACAGUAGAGGUGGGCGGAAUUCGUGGUGUAGCGGUGAAAUGCUUAGAUAUCACGAAGAACUCCGAUUGCGAAGGCAGCUCACUGGACUGCAACUGACACUGAUGCUCGAAAGUGUGGGUAUCAAACAGGAUUAGAUACCCUGGUAGUCCACACAGUAAACGAUGAAUACUCGCUGUUUGCGAUAUACAGUAAGCGGCCAAGCGAAAGCAUUAAGUAUUCCACCUGGGGAGUACGCCGGCAACGGUGAAACUCAAAGGAAUUGACGGGGGCCCGCACAAGCGGAGGAACAUGUGGUUUAAUUCGAUGAUACGCGAGGAACCUUACCCGGGCUUAAAUUGCAGUGGAAUGAUGUGGAAACAUGUCAGUGAGCAAUCACCGCUGUGAAGGUGCUGCAUGGUUGUCGUCAGCUCGUGCCGUGAGGUGUCGGCUUAAGUGCCAUAACGAGCGCAACCCUUAUCUUUAGUUACUAACAGGUUAUGCUGAGGACUCUAGAGAGACUGCCGUCGUAAGAUGUGAGGAAGGUGGGGAUGACGUCAAAUCAGCACGGCCCUUACGUCCGGGGCUACACACGUGUUACAAUGGGGGGUACAGAAGGCAGCUAGCGGGUGACCGUAUGCUAAUCCCAAAAGCCUCUCUCAGUUCGGAUCGAAGUCUGCAACCCGACUUCGUGAAGCUGGAUUCGCUAGUAAUCGCGCAUCAGCCACGGCGCGGUGAAUACGUUCCCGGGCCUUGUACACACCGCCCGUCAAGCCAUGGGAGCCGGGGGUACCUGAAGUACGUAACCGCAAGGAUCGUCCUAGGGUAAAACUGGUGACUGGGGCUAAGUC